GGCUAACAUCCAGCUUGAUGACGGUACCUCUUUAGCAAGCACCGGCUAACUCUGUGCCAGCAGCCGCGGUAAGACAGAGGGUGCAAACGUUGUUCGGAAUUACUGGGCGUAAAGCGCGUGUAGGCUGCUUCGAAAGUCGGAUGUGAAAGCCCUGGGCUCAACCUAGGAAGUGCAUUCGAAACUUCGAAGCUGGAGUCCUGGAGAGGAUAGCGGAAUUCUCGGUGUAGAGGUGAAAUUCGUAGAUAUCGAGAGGAACACCGGUGGCGAAGGCGGCUAUCUGGACAGUGACUGACGCUGAGACGCGAAAGCGUGGGGAGCAAACAGGAUUAGAUACCCUGGUAGUCCACGCCGUAAACGAUGGGUGCUAGGUGUCGCGGGCUUUGACCCUGCGGUGCCGUAGCUAACGCAUUAAGCACCCCGCCUCGGGGAGUACGGCCGCAAGGCUAAAACUCAAAGGAAUUGACGGGGGCCGCGACAAGCGGUGGAGCAUGUGGUUCAAUUCGACGCAACGCGCAG
rnacentral:rRNA from 1 species